CAUUUAUUGGAUUGGUUUCUCAAUAGUGUUCAGUCAGAAUCCCUUUUUGACCCUGCACCAUUGAUUCCACUAUUAUUAGAACGGAAUAAUGGAAUAAUUCCUUUAUAUUUACAGAGACAGGGGACAUAACUCACAUGGAUAUAGAAGUCUCGUUUGGGCUGCUUUAAUGGUAGUCUUUACAUUUUUCCUUUCACUCGUAGUGUGGGGAAGAAGUGGACUUUAGUAGUACUCCUGAAAGAUAAGUGGAUAUAAGAAGUCGUGUUGUUGAGAUCUAUCUAACUGUAAAUAUCUUCGGAUUUCCUCCAUUUGAAAUAUUAUUUGAAUCAAAGUUAGAAGAAUUAGGGUUACGGUGGAACCUAGGCACCCAGAGACGAGGAAGGACGUAGUAAUAGACGAAAUGCUUUAGGAAGUUGAAAAUAAGCAUAGAUUCGGAGAUUCCUGAAUAAGGCAACCUUUCGAACUGCUGCUGCAUCCAUGGGCAGGCAAGAGGCAACCUGGCAAACUAAAACAUCUUAAUAGCCAGAGGAAAAGAAAGUAAAAGCGAUUCCCGUAGUAGCGACGAGCAAAAUGAGAGCAGCCUAAACCGUAAAAACGAGGUUGUGGGAGAGCAAUACAAGCAUCGUGCUGCUAGGNGCUAAUACUAAUAUUAUCAACUAAGCAGAAUGUUUGAUUAUUAGACCAUGGUAUUUGAUUUACCAAAUACAUCAUUAUUUUAUACUCUUUCAUAUAUAUAGUGCAACCCAAUUUUAUUUUAUUUUUACCUUUUAUGGAAUAAGAAUAACUAAUCUAACUAAUAAGAAAUUCCCUCUUGCAGU
rnacentral:lncRNA from 1 species